rnacentral:rRNA from 1 species
ACACUCCUGCGGGAGGCAGCAGUGGGGAAUAUUGGACAAUGGGGGCAACCCUGAUCCAGCCAUGCCGCGUGAGUGAUGAAGGCCCUAGGGUUGUAAAGCUCUUUUGUGCGGGAAGAUAAUGACGGUACCGCAAGAAUAAGCCCCGGCUAACUUCGUGCCAGCAGCCGCGGUAAUACGAAGGGGGCUAGCGUUGCUCGGAAUCACUGGGCGUAAAGGGUGCGUAGGCGGGUCUUUAAGUCAGGGGUGAAAUCCUGGAGCUCAACUCCAGAACUGCCUUUGAUACUGAGGAUCUUGAGUCCGGAAGAGGUGAGUGGAACUGCGAGUGUAGGGGUGAAAUUCGUAGAUAUUCGCAAGAACACCAGUGGCGAAGGCGGCUCACUGGUCCGGUACUGACGCUGAGGCACGAAAGCGUGGGGAGCAAACAGGAUUAGAAACCCCGGUAGUCCCAUGAU